rnacentral:sRNA from 1 species
CAGGGUCAAAAGGUCAUGAUUUUCAUGCUUGCAUGAAAAAGCAUGACUUUGGGACCCGUAAAACAUGAGAAAGUAGCCCGAUCGGGCGGAUUUCGAAUGUUUUCAGGAUUGCGGGAGCAUGAAAUGCGGAGCAAUCCGUAGCAUC